UUAGUUCGUGGAGUGAUCUGUCUGCUUAAUUGCGUUUCACUAAGGGUUUAUUCAAAAAGUAUAUAUUAUACAUUGACCCCAGUAUUUAUUUACUGUGUGUUUGUCUUUGUUAAUAUUACAUUUAAACCCUGAAAGCAACGAACGUGACCGCAACGUCUUGUUGCCUGAAUACUGAUUUGUUAAAAAUCAAAAUCAGGCUGUUAAAACUAGGCGGACCGCUGUAACUUUUUUAAACCAGAGGAAGGUUGCGGCAAUAACAGGU
rnacentral:rRNA from 1 species